rnacentral:rRNA from 1 species
UACAGAGGUCCCAAGCGUUGUUCGGAUUCACUGGGCGUAAAGGGUGCGUAGGCGGUCGGGUAAGUCUGACGUGAAAUCUUCAAGCUUAACUUGGAAACUGCGUCGGAUACUAUUCGGCUAGAGGAAUGGAGUGGAGACUGGAAUACUUGGUGUAGCAGUGAAAUGCGUAGAUAUCAAGUGGAACACCAGUGGCGAAGGCGAGUCUCUGGACAUUUCCUGACGCUGAGGCACGAAAGCCAGGGGAGCAAACGGG